rnacentral:rRNA from 1 species
GACGUAGGGCGCGAGCGUUGUCCGGAUUUAUUGGGCGUAAAGAGCUCGUAGGCGGCUUGUCGCGUCGUCCGUGAAAACCCACAGCUCAACUGUGGGCUUGCGGUCGAUACGGGCAGGCUAGAGUUCGGUAGGGGAGACUGGAAUUCCUGGUGUAGCGGUGAAAUGCGCAGAUAUCAGGAGGAACACCGGUGGCGAAGGCGGGUCUCUGGGCCGACACUGACGCUGAGGAGCGAAAGCGUGGGGAGCGAACAGG